rnacentral:rRNA from 1 species
UACGUAGGGGGCAAGCGUUGUCCGGAAUCAUUGGGCGUAAAGAGCGUGUAGGCGGUCCGGUUAGUCGGCUGUGAAAGUCCAGGGCUCAACCCUGGGAUGCCGGUCGAUACUGCCGGACUAGAGUCCGGAAGAGGCAAGUGGAAUUCCCGGUGUAGCGGCGAAAUGCGCAGAUAUCGGGAGGAACACCAAUGGCGAAGGCAGCUUGCUGGGAUGGUACUGACGCUGAGACGCGAAAGCGUGGGGAGCAAACAGG